UUUCAGCAUGAUCGUCCUUUGUUUUGUUUGGGUGCUGCUUGAAUUUUUUCGGGCCACCUUUCUUAAUUUGGGGACGCGCAGUGUGGUGCCGUUGAAUAGUCGCACUGUUUCUCCUUCUCUUCGGGGUUGGAGGGACAAUUGUCGAUCAGUCGGUUUCGGAGCGUGCACACUGGUACCCGAAAGAUGGUGAACUAUGCUUGAGCAGAAUGAAGCCAGAGGAAACUCUGGUGGAAGUUCGUAGCGGUGUUGACGUGCAAAUCACUCGUCUGACUUGAGUGUAGGGGCGAAAGACUAAUCGAACCAUCUAGUUGCUGGUUCCUUCCGAAGUUUCCCUCAGGAUAGCUGGCAUUUGUGUGUAACAAUUUUAUCCGGUAGAGCGAAUGAUUAGAGGUGUUGGGAACGCAAUGUUCUCAGCCUAUUCUCAAACUUCGAAUGGGUAAGCAAGGCGAUUUGCUUUGAUCUGUUGAUGAAAUCGCCCAACUUUUUUGUGUUGAAGAAUGUAUAAAUGCCUAGUGGGCCAAUUUUGGUAAGCAGAACUGGCGAUGUGGAAUGAACCAAAAGUCAGGUUAAGGUGCCAGACAUUGGCGCUCAUGAAAUACCAGAAAAGGUGUUGGUCGAUAUAGACAGCAGGACGGUGGCCAUGGAAGUUGGAAUCCGCCAAGGAGUGUGUAACAACUCACCUGCCGAAUCGACUAGCCCUGAAAAUGGAUAGCGUUUGAGCGCCAGGCCCAUACCUGACCGUCUCAGUUACGCACUUUUGUUGUUUCAAUGAUGAAGGUGUAAUGAACGUUGAGACGGGUAGGAAGGUCGCGACAGUGUUGCUUUGAAGAGUUUUGAGCGUGAGCUCGCUCGGAGCCGCUGUUGGUGCAGAUCUUGGUGGUAGUAGCAAAUAUUCAAGUGAGAACCUUGAAGGCUGAAGUGGAGCAAGGUUCCAUGUGAACAGCAGUUGGACAUGGGUCAGUCGAUCCUAAGAAAACGGCGAAAGCUUGUUCGAAUUUACGACAUAAAAAAUGUAAAACUGUGUGUGUGUAGUGUGCUUGUGUGUGUACUAUACUGAUAUAGCAGUAGUGGUGGUGGUGGUUUGUCAGUCAGCAGUGUAGUGUUUGUCUGUGGCAGUGCUGCUGCUGCUGCUGCUGCUGCUGCUGCUAUUGUUUACUUGCUGUUGUUGUGUGUUGUUGUACACACACACCCACACAAUUCUGUGUGCAGUUGUCGUAUGUUUUCGAAAGGGAAUCCGGUUGAUAUUCCGGAACCGAGUAACGGAGACAAAGAGUAGCGCUUUAAUCUUCCGGUUGGCGUUCAACUCAAUCGCGCGGUAACGCAAGCGAACUCGGAAAAUGACCGUCGUGAGUUUCGAAAAGAGUUUUCUUUUCUUUUUAAGGGACGCAUUCCCUGGAACCGGGUUGUCCGGAGAUAGGGAUUCUGGUAUCCAUAAAACGCCGACUCUUUCACGGUGUUCGGAGCGCUCUCGUCGGUACGUGAAAAUCCGAGCGACGCCUGGUAAAUCUCGUACUUGGUCGUACUGAUAUCCGCAGCAGGUCUCCAAGGUGAAUAGCCUCUGGCCGAUAGAAUAAUGUAGGUAAGGGAAGUCGGCAAAACGGAUCCGUAACUUCGGAACAAGGAUUGGCUCUAAGGGCUGGGCCGAUCGGGCUGAGGUUUCAAGCGUGCAGUGUAUGCUUGGCUGAGCUGUGCUGAGGAUUGAUUAGCUUGGUGCCGUUUGUUGACCCAAGCGGCUGUCCAGGUGGUCAUGUCUGAAGCAAAGCUGGCCGACAGACCGGCACGUGCAGAACCUGAGCUGCGCGGCUGUCAGUUUAUUUGUACAGACCGUUUCGGUCGGCAUUCAACAGCCAACUUAGAACUGGCACGGACACAAGGAAUCUGACUGUAUAAUUAAAACAAAGCAUUGCGAUGGCCGAUGAUCGGUGUUGACGCAAUGUGAUUUCUGCCCAGUGCUCUGAAUGUCAAAGUGAAGAAAUUCAACCAAGCGCGGGUAAACGGCGGGAGUAACUAUGACUCUCUUAAGGUAGCCAAAUGCCUCGUCAUCUAAUUAGUGACGCGUAUGAAUGGAUCAACAAGAUUCCUUCUGUCCCUAUCUACUAUCUAGCGAAACCACAGCCAAGGGAACGGGCUUGGCAAAAUCAGCGGGGAAAGAAGACCCUGUUGAGCUUGACUCUAGUCUGACUCUGUGAAGAGACAUGAAAGGUGUAGCAUAGGUGGGAGGCUGCAGCCGGGCACUGCUUGCGCGGUGUCUCUGUGGUCGCCAAUGAAAUACCACUACUUUGAUCGUUUCUUUACUUAUUCGGUAAAGCGAAAAAAUUGUGGCCAAUUUUGCGGUCUCGCCGCUGUUGGUCAUUGUUUUAAUGUUGGAUUGAAGCUUCGUUUGUAGCCGUCGUUUUGUGUCGCCGUUUGACGUGCAUUCGCAGUGGUGUGGGUUUCUUGGCUCGCGCGCGGCUAGUGUCGUCAACAGCGGACGACCGGCGAUUGGUUUGAAGUGAUUCGCUCCGGAAACAGUGUCAGACGGGGAGUUUGACUGGGGCGGUACAUCUGUUAAACGAUAACGCAGGUGUCCUAAGGUAAGCUCAGCGAGGACAGAAACCUCGCCUAGAGUAAACGGGCACAAGCUUACUUGAUUUUGAUUUCCAGUACGAAUAAAAACCGCGAAAGCGUGGCCUAUCGAUCCUUUUGAUUGUGUAGAUUUCACGCAAGAGGUGUCAGAAAAGUUACCACAGGGAUAACUGGCUUGUGGCAGCCAAGCGUCCAUAGCGACGUUGCUUUUUGAUCCUUCGAUGUCGGCUCUUCCUAUCAUUGCGAAGCAGAAUUCGCCAAGCGUUGGAUUGUUCACCCACCAAUAGGGAACGUGAGCUGGGUUUAGACCGUCGUGAGACAGGUUAGUUUUACCCUACUGAUGACAAGUCGUUGCGAUAGUAAUCCUGCUCAGUACGAGAGGAACCGCGGGAUCAGACAUUUGGUUCAUGCGCUCGGCUGAAAGGCCGGUGGCGCGAAGCUAGCAUCUGCAAGAUUAUGACUGAACGCCUCUAAGUCAGAAUCUUUUCUAGUCAUUGG
rnacentral:rRNA from 1 species